rnacentral:rRNA from 1 species
GACGAACGCUGGCGGCGUGCCUAAUACAUGCAAGUCGAGCGAGCUUGCCUAGAUGAUUUUAGUGCUUGCACUAAAUGAAACUAGAUACAAGCGAGCGGCGGACGGGUGAGUAACACGUGGGUAACCUGCCCAAGAGACUGGGAUAACACCUGGAAACCGUGGUUAAUACCGGAUACUCCGGGACCCCCGCAUGGGGGUGCCGGGAAAGCCCUGACGGCGAGGGAUGGGCCCGCGGCCUGUUAGCUUGUUGGCGGGGUAACGGCCCACCAAGGCGACGAUCAGUAGCCGGUCUGAGAGGAUGAACGGCCACAUUGGGACUGAGACACGGCCCAG